rnacentral:rRNA from 1 species
AACGAACGCUGGCGGUAGGCUUAACACAUGCAAGUCGAGCGCCCCGCAAGGGGAGCGGCAGACGGGUGAGUAACGCGUGGGAAUCUACCCAUCUCUACGGAAUAACGCAUGGAAACGUGUGCUAAUACCGUAUACGUCCUUCGGGAGAAAGAUUUAUCGGUGAUGGAUGAGCCCGCGUUGGAUUAGCUAGUUGGUGGGGUAAAGGCCUACCAAGGCGACGAUCCAUAGCUGGUCUGAGAGGAUGAUCAGCCACACUGGGACUGAGACACGGCCCAGACUCCUACGGGAGGCAGCAGUGGGGAAUAUUGGACAAUGGGCGCAAGCCUGAUCCAGCCAUGCCGCGUGAGUGAUGAAGGCCCUAGGGUUGUAAAGCUCUUUCACCGGUGAAGAUAAUGACGGUAACCGGAGAAGAAGCCCCGGCUAACUUCGUGCCAGCAGCCGCCGCAGUAA